rnacentral:lncRNA from 1 species
CUGAUUUAAAGGACAAGUUUCACUUAUUGCCCAAAAUAGCCUAAACUAUAAAACUCCAAAAAGUUCUCAAUUUGGUUCGUAAUUUGGGUCUAUUUCAAAAGUCUUAACACUCAAUAAAUCAGUUCUUUUCAUAAAAGUACAUUUUACGUUCCAAAUUUGUCAAAAUGUGAUGAUUUUGGGCAAUUUUCAGACCUGAAAGCUUUAAGCCUCAGGAAUAAAGAUUUGGCCCCUACCUACAUGUACCAUCCAAAAUGUUUUGUAACCAAAAGAAUCCAAAUCUGAUAUAUAUAAUUCAUCAAUAUAAAAACUUUUUAGAUCUUGGA